GCCAUCUUGGUAAAGGAUGUUCUGUUGAAGAGUUGUGCGGAUUCGAGAUGUUGACUGUGUUCCUCUCCGCAGAUGCUGCCAGACCUGCUGAGUUUAUCCAGCUAUUUUUGUUUUUGGUAAAGGAGAGGCCAUCUUACUCGUCAGACUCACAGGCCCCACCCAGCAAAUUAAACUCUCGUUAAACACGCACCUUAUUCAGUUUUAGUGUAGUAACUAUUAUUCUCAUAGAAGGAGAAACUGGAUUUUUGUGACAAGAUAGAAGAGAUGGCUUGACAAACUUGCAGCUGGCAUUUGAAAUCUAACAUCCCCAUCUGUGACCCCAUCAAGUUCCUCUCAACCCAGAAGUAGCAAUUCUUCCUCCGCCUAGAUUAGAGGGCAGAUCAAGGCUUGUGGUCCACCAUCUCUAGUCAAUCUCUUAUUCUAGUGUCGUGGGCAGAAGGUCAGAAUGACCUCUUGUUGGGAUGAGAUGCAGUUUACCUCAGGUGCCAGAAUGUAGAUUGUAAUCAUGGUGAUGACAGGUGUAUGGAACAGACAACCAGCAAGGCUAAGACCUGUUUACCGAUUAAGUCAGAGCAGAGAUCAGGAGGAUAUACUGAGAGACCACAAGAGUCAUGUCUCUGUCUGAAGAAUUGUGCAUGAAUAUUGCAGAGUAACCACCCUGAAAAGAGUAAUCUACCAAGAUCUUUUGAGGAUAAAAUGUGAUAAAAUGCUGUACCUAGGAAGACAACUGAACAAACGGAACGUGGAAUCACCGCAUUGUGACCAGCUAAAGGACAAUUAACCAUAUAUUUCAUUGAUUGUUUAUUUUCUUCACAAACUGUAUAAAAAUCUUUAAGUCUA